AACGAACGCUGGCGGCAUGCCUAACACAUGCAAGUCGAACGAGACCUUCGGGUCUAGUGGCGCACGGGUGCGUAACGCGUGGGAACCUGCCCUUAGGUUCGGAAUAACUCCCCGAAAGGGGUGCUAAUACCGGUUAAUGUCUUCGGACCAAAGAUUUAUCGCUUUUGGAUGGGCCCGCGUUGGAUUAGCUAGUUGGUAGGGUAAAAGCCUACCAACGCGACGAUCCAUAGCUGGUCUGAGAGGAUGAUCAGCCACACUGGGACUGAGACACGGCCUAGACUCCUACGGGAGGGAGCAGUGGGGAAUAUUGGACAAUGGGCGAAGGCCUGAUACAGCAAUGCCGGGUGAGUGAUGAAGGCCUUAGGGUUGUAAAGCUCUUUUACCCGGGAUGAUAAUGACAGUACCGGGAGAAUAAGCUCCGGCUAACUCCGUG
rnacentral:rRNA from 1 species